CUCUCUCUCUCUCCCUCUCUCUCUCUCCGUGGUACACUAUGCGGGACCUCCAAUGAAUCCAGAACAUUAACUUUGAAACACGAAUAUUCCAUCUACUGACGUCUAAACUAAUGACUUUCACCUCACUCAGCACCACGUUUAACUGUUACAUCUGCCUGGUAUUUAGGGUCCAGCCUUGGUUUUUGUAGUGGAAACCAAUUUGUACAAACCUUGCACUCAAAGGGAAGCUAUGAAUAUCGUUGAAGGCCUUUUUUAAGGCACGAAAACUUGAAGAAUUAUAUGUGGCCGAAAUAACUUCUUACGAGAGUAGACCCAAAUAACGAGACUGACAAAAAUUCAAAUGGCUCAGCGACUCGAUCGAAAGUACUAAUGGCAGAAUAAUACUUUACAGUGACCUCACGUAUCUAUUCACUUGUCUACUUCAACAUACACAAAUGAGUAUUGUGUUUACUAGUCAUGGUAAAACUUUCUCAGUUCAUGUGGAUUUGAGUUAAGCAUUUCUUGCUGUUGAGUUGCUAUUUCAGAUAGGUUCAGGCUGAUUCGGAGCUUCGGGUCGUGGCUAUAGGCCAAUAAGAACAGUGACGUGGGCGAUCUGUGAGUGAAAGGGAAAAGAAUGAUACACUUUUAGGUUUGAAUGUAAUGAGGUUGUUGGUUUGUCAGUAGACUGUGCUGGGUCAUAGCGUGUGUGUACUGAGGUGCUCUUAAGAUGUAGUGAAUGUGUGUGUCAUGGUUGUGACUAAUUUGCGCUGCUGGUGAGCUUUUUUUUUUUUUUCUGGUCUGGAAAAAGGAAGAAGACUUCCAGAGUUCACAUAAAGUAAUUCAAUAUACAGUUAAGUGAAGAUUUGUUCUAGUGACCUGUAACAAAAUGGGCAACUAUUGGUUAGAUAUAAAGUGGGUUCCAGAACGUCAUGGUCCACGCUACAAGAACUAUACUGUCCUCAAUAAAGAUCCAGCGCAAACAGUCCUCGCCCGCGCAGUGUUGUGUGUGUGACUUGUGUUGUGGGGUGCCUGGUGGCGGCUACAGAGAUUCAUAGAUAUACCGUGAUAGUGAGUGGGAACGUUGCGCCGGGAGGAGUCACAUGAAGACGUGGAGAGCAGGUCGAGUGGCCAAGCUUUACACAGGCACAGUGGUCUAAUCCGGUACUGAGCAUUUAAUGUGAUCCUCUGGCCUGCGCCUCCACGCCAGUACUGCCGAGACCUGGUGACUUUUAGCACGGCGAUCACCAUCACGCUGGUUGGUGGCUGCUGCGCCCGGCGGGAAAAAAGGCGAUGUUUUCCGGCAUGUAAUAUCUCUCUGAAGUGGAAAUAACGCUCCUUCAUUUGCAUGUCAAUGAGGAAUGUGUUUUCUGAAUGCUGCCUUGGUCGAAUAUCAACGAGAACAUCCUUCCUUGUGGGGGAGGAAAAUAGACUUUGUGCUGUAUUUGCGUUUUAUUAUGUGUGGGUCUCUUGAUUGGUGUUUGUUUAUGUUUGUGUGUCACGCGUACUUCAUUCCGUGGUGUGUCUAAUGUUUUGUUAAGCUUUCGUGUUUUCUUUAGCAAGUCAAUGUAGAGUUUGGUCUUUGGUUGGGUUUUCAGUAAUUUUUUGUUGUAGUAUUUAAUGGCGUCAAUUUGAAUUUCUAAUAUAGCUGUUGAAUGUACGUGCUCUGAUCCUUUUAGUGUGAACUUGUAGUUGUCUUCGGCAUUCAGGUAAUACAUUUCAUUCUUGAUCACUUCAGUGUCUACGCUCGCUGUGUUUCUUACAGUGACAGAUGACUUGAUUUCCCACCUGUGUGUCUGAAACAGGAUGUAUUAGAUGGUGGGCAGGAAUGGGGGCUGUAAUCUACUUGUGAUUCUCGUAAGAUCUUCCAACAGAGGAUUAGGUUCGUUGUGCUGCGAGACUGAUUGAUUUGAGUAUUGCACCUGCCUAAGAUUAACAAAUUAAUCAGUCCCAUAGAACGGUGAGCAGAACCCUCUUAUGCACGAAGGAGA